rnacentral:lncRNA from 1 species
GUUUGUCAGGACCCCCACCUGUCUCUGGAGCCCACUGUGCUCCGUCUCUGCUGGGAACGUGAUCCUGUGAUCACAAAGUUACAGCAGCCGGAGGCCACCAGCCAGCCAGCUCCCCAGCGGAUCGGGAAGAUCGGAGCCUGUGCUGCCAUGAAUGUCAGUUUCUUCAUUUGCUCUUUAAUUGAUUCACUAAAUACUCAUUGAGCCUCAUGACAGUCAGAUCCGGAGCUGGUUACUGGGAACACAAUUUCUUUUCCAUUAAUCUUCUGGUUCAACAGACUCCUAUCAGAGCUUCAGGAAGAACUUUGGCUGUUCCCAGGCUCCAAGUUCAAGGACUCUUUCACCUAAUGAUUACUAAGUGAUUUCAAAUUUAGUACAAGCAGAGGACAGUCACAGACAUCUCCAGAGAAGCCAACUGCCAUGCUGUGAGCUACCCUAAGGAGAGAGUCACAUGGGCAAAAGGAAAGAAAAGCCCUGAUAUUUUUGGUUAAGAGCCAAUGAGGACCCAAGGCCUGCCAACAGCCAUGUGUAUCCAAGUACACUCCUGCAGUCACUUACUAUGUUAGGAAUAUGCAGUCGUAUGGAGUACUACUCCGUCAUCAAGGAGGAUAAACUUGAGGCAUUUUUAGGUAAAUAGAUGCACCUCAAGACCAUAAUUUUAAGUGAAAUAAACCAGACACACAAGUUUAAAUCUAGCAUUGUUUUCCUUGUGUGAGAAACUCAAAGGGUAAAUAAGGAACAAAAUGGAGGAUAGAUAUUGGCAAGUAGGAAGAACAUGUUCAAAUGGGAAGGGGAACAAAGGAGGAGGAAGGGAAGAGAAAGGAAAUUUUAAAAGAGAAUGGAAGAGAAAAAGUG